UCAAAGAUUAAGCCAUGCAUGUCUAAGUAUAAACACCUUUAUACAAGUGAAACUGCGAAUGGCUCAUUAAAACAGUUAUAGUUCCAUUGAGAACACUACUACUUGGAUAACCGUAGUAAUUCUAGAGCUAAUACAUGCCUCAACGCCCGACUCACGAAGGGCGGUAUUUAUUGGAUAAAAAACCUUCGCACUCUUUUGGGUGUUUAGAGAUGAUUCACAAUAACUAGUCGGAUCGCAUGGCCUUGCGCUGGCGACUCCUCAUUCAAGUUUCUGCCCUAUCAACUUUCGAUGGUAGAGUAUUGGUCUACCAUGGUGUCGACGGGUGACGGGGAAUUAGGGUUCGAUUCCGGAGAGGGAGCCUGAGAAACGGCUACCACAUCCAAGGAAGGCAGCAGGCGCGCAAAUUACCCAAUCCCGACACGGGGAGGUAGUGACAAAAAAUAACAAUAGGGGGCCCUUUGGGUCUUCUAAUUGGAAUGAGAACAAUUUAAAUCCGUUAUCGAGGAUCCAUUGGAGGGCAAGUCUGGU
rnacentral:rRNA from 1 species